AGGGUGCGGAGUGAUUCAAACCCAGGUGCCCUGGUGCCUAGCCCAGGUUGAGGAUGCCCUGAUGCACCUGUUCGGGAGACGCGGGGAUGGAGCAGAGAGGGAGGAGGCUGACGGCCAGGAAGAGGAGGACCCCCCAGGACGACCAUCUUGGCAGGCACAGCAACCUUCCGUGUCCAAUGGAGAAGUCAGCCCUGCGCGUCCCCAGUGUCCGCUCCCACCACACAAAUGCUGCCGUCUCCCCAGGCCUGUCGCCUGCCUACGUGUCACCCCACUGCUCCGGAACAACAGCCAUGGAAGCCCCACCAGGGGUGAGGUGCCUGAUGUGCAAUGGAGAGCUCGUCGCAGUCCCAGAGCUGGAGGGCUUACAAGGCACGUAGGCAAGAUGGUGGUGGUCACUCUCCCCUUCGCACCCCUGACGUGGAACUAAGGAUCCUCCAGCUAAAGGCCACCUCUACCAGGAAAGAGCUCCCUCUGACCAGCAGCCUGCCUCCUGGCUUUGGCCAGGCCACCUCCUCCC